CUAACUCAAAUUUGUAUGCAGCUGGAACAGCGGUAAACGUAGGCAAACGUUCCAACUCCAUACAAAUUUGAGUUA
rnacentral:pre_miRNA from 1 species